rnacentral:rRNA from 1 species
GACGAACGCUGGCGGCAUGCCUAACACAUGCAAGUCGAGCGAGCAGAUCCCUUCGGGGUGAAGCUAGCGGCGGACGGGUGAGUAACACGUGGGCAACCUGCCUCAUAGAGGGGAAUAGCCUUCCGAAAGGAAGAUUAAUACCGCAUAAGAUUGUAGCUUCGCAUGAAGUAGCAAUUAAAGGAGCAAUCCACUAUGAGAUGGGCCCGCGGCGCAUUAGCUAGUUGGUGAGGUAACGGCCCACCAAGGGGACGAUGCGUAGCCGACCUGAGAGGGUGGUCGGCCACAUUGGGACUGAGACACGGCCCAGACUCCUACGGGAGGCAGCAGUGGGGAAUAUUGCACAAUGGGGGAAACCCUGAUGCAGAAAUGCCGCGUGAGUGAUGACGGCCUUCGGGUUGUAAAGCUCUGUCUUCGGGGACGAUAAUGACGGUACCCGAGGAGGAAGCCACGGCUAACUACGUGCCAGCCGCCGCCGUGA